UUGCAGCCUAUUAAGCCGACUGACUGUUGUGCUGUGUCAAUAGUUGGUAUGCAAUGACUGCAUAAACUAAUAUUCUUAGGUUGUGUAUGCACUUAGUCGAUGUACUGAGUGCGCAAAGGGACCUUUGAAACACUU